GGGACCUGCGGAAGGAUCAUUAAAGAGUAAGGGUGCUCAGCGCCCGACCUCCAACCCUUUGUUGUUAAAACUACCUUGUUGCUUUGGCGGGACCGCUCGGUCUCGAGCCGCUGGGGAUUCGUCCCAGGCGAGCGCCCGCCAGAGUUAAACCAAACUCUUGUUAUUUAACCGGUCGUCUGAGUUAAAAUUUUGAAUAAAUCAAAACUUUCAACAACGGAUCUCUUGGUUCUCGCAUCGAUGAAGAACGCAGCGAAAUGCGAUAAGUAAUGUGAAUUGCAGAAUUCAGUGAAUCAUCGAAUCUUUGAACGCACAUUGCGCCCCUUGGUAUUCCGAGGGGCAUGCCUGUUCGAGCGUCAUUACACCACUCAAGCUAUGCUUGGUAUUGGGCGUCGUCCUUAGUUGGGCGCGCCUUAAAGACCUCGGCGAGGCCACUCCGGCUUUAGGCGUAGUAGAAUUUAUUCGAACGUCUGUCAAAGGAGAGGAACUCUGCCGACUGAAAC
rnacentral:misc_RNA from 1 species